rnacentral:lncRNA from 1 species
CUUGUUCCUCUUGCAUAUACAGAGUUUCUGCUUUGUUUGUUAUAUAAUAGAGAAUUUAAUAGUAUGACUAUCACUAAGUUCUAUGGAACUUUGGGAAAAGCACUAUCUCCAAGAUAGAUGCAGAAAUAUAUGGUUUUGUUUCAUCAUGUGACUAACUUUGUUAUUGUUUUAAAAUUGUGAUUUGUGAUUAUUAUAGGGCUAUACAUGCAUGUGGAAAGAGUAUAUAUACUAAGAAAAUAAAACAUUAGGAGGUUAGCCAGUUAACCUGCUCCUGAGUCUGCCAGUUUCCCUCUGAAGAGACUACCAAUUUCUGUCACUGAGGUAAAUGAGCAACCCUUCUUGCAGUGCAGUCUUUAAAGUCUUAAAAAAAAACACACAUUAGGCUAUGUACCUUGGCACUGUUGGAAAGGGCCAUACAGCAUUGGUUUCCUGAGUC